UACAGAGGUCCCAAGCGUUGUUCGGAUUCAUUGGGCGUAAAGGGUGCGUAGGCGGCGCGGUAAGUCGGGUGUGAAAUCUCGGGGCUUAACUCCGAAACUGCAUUCGAUACUGCCGUGCUUGAGGACUGGAGAGGAGACUGGAAUUUACGGUGUAGCGGUGAAAUGCGCAGAUAUCAGGAGGAACACCAAUAGCGAAGGCAGCUCGCUGGGACGGUACUGACGCUAAGGCGCGAAAGCGUGGGGAGCGAACAGG
rnacentral:rRNA from 1 species